rnacentral:rRNA from 1 species
AGUCACUGACAUUAGAUACCCGCGUAGUCCAGGGUGUAAACGCUGCAGACUUGGUGUUGGGGGCCCUUUGGGAGCAUUCAGUGCCGGAGAGAAGUUGUUAAGUCUGCUACUUGGGGAGUACGUCCGCAAGGAUGAAACUUAAAGGAAUUGGCGGGGGAGCACCGCAACGGGAGGAGCGUGCGGUUUAAUUGGAUUCAACACCGUAAAACUCACCAGGGAAGACUGUUACAUGAAGGCCGAGAUGAAGACUCUGCUAGAUUUUCAG